rnacentral:rRNA from 1 species
GAUGAACGCUGGCGGCGUGCCUAAUACAUGCAAGUCGAGCGAACAGACGAGGAGCUUGCUCCUCUGACGUUAGCGGCGGACGGGUGAGUAACACGUGGAUAACCUACCUAUAAGACUGGGAUAACUUCGGGAAACCGGAGCUAAUACCGGAUAAUAUAUUGAACCGCAUGGUUCAAUAGUGAAAGACGGUUUUGCUGUCACUUAUAGAUGGAUCCGCGCCGCAUUAGCUAGUUGGUAAGGUAACGGCUUACCAAGGCAACGAUGCGUAGCCGACCUGAGAGGGUGAUCGGCCACACUGGAACUGAGACACGGUCCAGACUCCUACGGGAGGCAGCAGUAGGGAAUCUUCCGCAAUGGGCGAAAGCCUGACGGAGCAACGCCGCAUGAGUGAUGAAGGUCUUCGGAUCGUAAAACUCUGUUAUUAGGGAAGAACAAAUGUGUAAGUAACUAUGCACGUCUUGACGGUACCUAAUCAGAAAGCCACGGCUAACUACGUG